GAGGCCAUUUGUAAAAAGGGUUUCAACAAGGUGAAAAAAUAAGGACUAGAAACCUAGAGAAGAGGAGUCCCAUUAAUGCUUCCUCUUGGACAUGAAAGGUGCAAUUUUUCGAAAUACGUGCAGUCCAAUUGACACCGAUGUAUAUAAAGUUACACAUGUGAUGUCUUCUACUAUGUGGCUCAUUUCAUCAUGUGUGGUAUUAUUUUCCCUUUCACGAGCAUCUAUUGUUGGAGGCACUUCUCUUUUGUCAACGCUUAGGAGUAAAACUCGAGCACCAUAGAAUAUACUUGAGAUCAUCCAACAGAUGAGAGAAAAUUGAAGUUCAGGUUGAUCAUAUUGAGGCAACUAAUAACUGGUGUUGUCUUUCUUGGACUGUAUUCUGGAUUUGCUGUUUUUAUCUUCACCUUACAACAUUAUGCAGUUAAUUUUCAACAGAUAAGUGAGAACAAGAGGAGAUUUAUUUGAAUUCCACUAAAAGAGCAAGUUUUCUUUGGCAUUUCUACUGGAUUUGGUUUGCUUUUCGCACCUGCAAACUUUGGAUUGUUACAGUCUACAAUUAAUUAAGGUGAGA